GACGCACGGGGAAGACCCGGAAACCAGAGGACCCGAGAGUGGCCGGAGGUCUGAUCCUCCAUGUUUUCUGACGGGGGAGCUGGGUCGCCGAUGGCCGUAGCUGAAUCGACGAUUGGUGAAGCCUAGACCCGCGACCCGUGAGCUCAAACACGUUGACCCACGAAGGGCCGUAACCCAGAACCCCUCGGACCUGCGACCCAUGACCCGCUUAACUCGUGAGGAAGACCCGGUUCUCCAAGUGCGGUUUCCAGCGACUUUUCCGGCGGAAUCAGUGGCUUUUUCCGGCGGAUUUGUUGAGGAAAAUCCCUAAGGAUCGUGUUAUAAUAGGAAACUUCAAUGGGUUCUCCAAUGUAGAGUUCGAGUUGGAGUCCAAUGCAGCCGAGGUGGGUAUUCCACUCACUGAGAAAAUAUAUAUUUUUAUAUGUAUUGGACUGAUAAAAAUAUAUAUAUUGUUUAUGAAUCCGAACCAACCAUAUGAUGAAAUGUAUAUGCUUUGAGAUGAUUUGUUUAGUUUCGAUUAUGUUUAAACUAUAUCAAUGAUGUUAAAGAGAUAGUGUAUGAGUGAAAAGUAUUGAAUAGAUUUAAAGUGUUAAGUUCUGCGGUUGAGAUUUAAAUUAUGCAAAUUGUUUGAGAACAUGUCAUGUUGAAACUGUGUAGAUUUUAUAAAAAAAACUAAGUUUUGAAUGUCUUCGAAAUGAUUGAUAAAAUGCUGGAUUUGUUUUGUUUUGAGAGGGCGUGAUUUGACAACUGUAUGAUUUCAGCAUGAUACAGUAGUGAAAUAUAUACUGGUCAAGCACGGAACAUUGAGCAUGUAGUAUAGAGCAUACAUAUCAGAGUAACAGUAUCAGCAGAGUAACAGUAUCAGCACAUUGAGGCAGUAUCAGCAGCACAUUGAGGCAUGCAUAUCAUGUAUAGCAUUGUUUUAUGAGUGAUGUUUUUAUGCUAUGAGUAGUUUUGCUAGACGUGUUGGUAUGCAUAAGUGUCUUCAUGAAAGAGCGCUUAUGUAUAUUUCUAUCGGAUGGUCACAUGUGUUAAUAUCAUACAUUGAACUUGAAAGUACAUGAAUACAUGACUACCCAGGUGCGAGUAAUGGCAUGUCUAUGAGUAGGAAGGUUGACUGUUCUUGUUCAUCAAGAAAGACGUGUUAGCAUGAUUGAGUUUAACUCUAGUGCUCUCAUGAUCUAAUGACGUUCAAAGCACGAAGCUGGAAUACGAUUAGAGAUGGUGUUGCGAGUGUUUUGUUGAAGGAUGUUAUCCUAGUACGGAAGAGUAAGAUGCCAUGUUCUUUGCUUAAGACCUAUGUGUAUACGUGAUAUCUGUGAUGGAGUGAUCGUGUGCACAUAUGUCUGAGCGACCGUUGAAAAGUAUUAUUAUAGGCGGGUCUAUAUGUAGAAACUUCCAAGGAGGGAUGUCUGGAACUUCUACAUGUUUUCACAGCUAUAUAGUAUGUUUUAAAUGAUUUCUGAAUAGUCGGUGUUUGCUACAUUAGCUUUUGGUAAAUUGUGGCUAAUAUAGUGCUCGCACGACUAAAAAUAAAAUAAGGGUUGGUUCUUUGUGAAAACUCAGUUAGUCUUAUACCACUGAGGUCUUAGUAUGUUUCAUGCUAAGGUGGUGAACUCAUUCUUUCACCUAUGCGGAUGUGGAUACCACCACAACCGUGUAGAUGAUGUUUCUUUGGCUACAGGUACUUCGGUAUAGUUGAGGGGUUGGUAGCAGUGUACUUGGGAUAUUAUGACAGAAGCUUGCCGCGACAAUUGUAAUUGUCGGACCACGGGUUGUCCACUAUUUUAUAGGUUUGGUAUGGCUUGUGACGUUUGUGUCACUUAUUCUUUGUUAAGCCAUUAUUGUUAUGUAAUGAUUGUGUUAAUAAAGACUCAAACAGAUAGACGUUAAAUGGCUCAAUGUUGUAAUUAAGUUGUGAUAGAUGUAUAAGUUGUAAUUUCCGCUA